ACGACGCUGGCGGCGUGCCUAACACAUGCAAGUCGAGCGCGAAAGUCCCCUCGGGGGCGAGUAGAGCGGCGGACGGGUGAGUAAUACGUGGAUAAUCUGCCCUUGAGCUCGGGAUAACCCCGCGAAAGUGGGGCUAAUACCGGAUAAGACCACGUGACCCAAGUCACGGGGUAAAAGGUGGCCUGUAUUCAUACAUGCUAUCACUUGAGGAUGAGUCCACGGCCUAUCAGCUUGUUGGUGAGGUAAUGGCUCACCAAGGCUAUGACGGGUAGCUGGUCUGAGAGGACGAUCAGCCACACUGGGACUGAGACACGGCCCAGACUCCUACGGGAGGCAGCAGUGGGGAAUAUUGGGCAAUGGGCGAAAGCCUGACCCAGCGACGCCGCGUGGGCGAUGAAGGCCUUCGGGUCGUAAAGCCCUGUCAUGCGGAAAGAAAAGUCCCGCGAUUAAUACUCGCGGGAUGUGACGGUACCGCAGAAGGAAGCACCGGCUAACUCCGUG
rnacentral:rRNA from 1 species